rnacentral:lncRNA from 1 species
CAUCCUUUCAAUUUCCAGUUCGUGGUUUCAUCGUUUAAGAACUAACUCUUUCUACCUUCCAAUUUUUCGGUUGAUGCUAGUUCGUGAUUUUAGUUCCAACUAGUCAAAGGUUUAAUGCUGCAGCCUGUAGGAAGGCCAUUAAUACCUUUGUUAUCCUUGAUGAACAUUCCUUUAGAGUGGUUGAGGGUGUUGGUUUUAAGCAAAUUUGUAAACAAUUGCAACCCCAAAUGGCUAUCCCUACUAGGAGGACCGUUGCUAGGGAUUGUUUUCAGCUUUACCUAGCUGAAAAGUCACGUCUUAAAGCCUUUUUUUAAAUCUGAUUGUACUAGGGUUGCACUAACCACAGACUGUUGGACUUCGAUACAAAACCUUAGUUAUAUGGCCACCACUGCACACUUCAUUGACACUGCUUGGAAGUACCAAAAAAAAUUUAUUAGUUUCUCUUUAGUUCCAAAUCACAAAGGUGAUACCAUUGGCAUGAAAGUCGAGGACGUUUUGAGGGAAUGGGGGCUUAGGAAAGUGUCUACAAUUACCCUGGAUAACGCAACAGCAAAUGAUAGUGUGAUAAUAAUUUGUUAUGAAGGUGCCAGCUAAUUGAUCAUAGCACGCAAUGGGAAGAGAGAUAAAUUUGAGUUUGGGUUGCCUACUCAACAACACUGUAUGUCAAGAAGCAGUGGAUGCAUAUCAUUAAAAUUUAUUUCUAGUUCUGCUAUAGUAGAUGCAGUUCUUAACAUUUAUCCUUUCAUAUAAUGGCAGGAAAAUUAUUGGUGCGCGGUUGGUAUAUUAAAGGAUAUGAAGUAGAAUUCGGUAAUCACACUUCUGGUACUAGUUUUCUGUAAUCACACUUCUUUUUUCAAAUGAUUUUUCAUCACUUUUUAUUGCCAGAUUAAUGGUUCCAGUCCCACAACUAUUGGUUUAGAGGUUAUUAAUAGGCCCACAACUCUUGUUGUGAAGAGAUUGAUCUUUGAGACAGUAACCUUGAGGUGGAAGUUGAAUCAUUUCUCUUUCGGAGUAACAACUUCAGGUUGGUUUCUAACUGAGUUUUGAUAUUAUGCCUAUAAAUGAAUUCAUUUACUGAGAAGCUUGUUGGUUAAAUAUUCCAUGUGUAUUUCUCAUCUCAUCUUUUUCCUUCUGUUUUAUGUUUCUAAUUGACAAUUCUUGUUUUGUUGGUUGUGUUUUGGUAUGGAAGAUGGAGCGCGACAAAAGUAGCUUGCAAGGAGUUGGAGUUCCUAGCUUGCAAGGAGUUGGAGUUCCUAGCGGAGUUGUAGAUCAAGGAGUGAGUCAAGGUAAUGCCAUCACCUGUCAUUUUUAUACUGAGUGUUUGUUUAAUAAGUGAUACAUGUUAUGCUGUCAUUUUUAAAUGUAUGAAUUAUAGGAGCAGCUGCUGGUACGCACUCCCUCCACUUCGAAAAGGAACUUAAUGCUAGUGGUAGUAGAAAAUUCUACGGUUUGGGAAGGUUUAACAUUUACCGAUGAGCUGAACCUAUAGCCGCGUGUAAACACUGUCAUAAAAGGUACCGAUGUGACCUAAAACACAUGGUACUUCUAACAUGCUAGCUCACUCGAAAGUGUGUUACAAAAACCUGCCCUUUUGUUGAAAGACCCAAUCAGACAAACCUUGUAAGCGGCGAGGGUGGGUUUUUAGUUCCAACUAGUCAAAGGUUUAAUGCUGCAGCCUGUAGGAAGGCCAUAAUACCUUUGUUAUCCUUGAUGAACAUUCCUUUAGAGUGGUUGAGGGUGUUGGUUUUAAGCAAAUGUGUAAACAAUUGCAACCCCAAAUGGCUA